AUUUAUGCUUUUCAGCAUUGGAUUUAAACCUGUCAUCCUUGACAUUUGGGGCAGAAACUGCUGAAAUGAAGGAGGACUUGCCAUCAAAGAACUGGCUGAAAGGAGUUAGCACACCACUCCUCUGCCCUGAACAGUUCUAAGCAAGAGGAGGAGCCUGUGGCAGGGCGUGAUAUGAAGUCCUCAGAGAUAGAGUGCCAAGAGUAGAGGGAGUAUCCUGGAACUUCAGUGUUUGCAGAAAAAUUCUUCUGGGGAAUAAAGCAUAGAGAAAUGAAGAGCUAAGAUACAGAGGAGCUUCCCAAGACCAUGUUUGAACAUUUGUAAACAGCCAUGCCUGGACUUCUGAGUUAAACGAGUCAGUAUAUUUCCUUUAUUGCUCAAAUCACUUUUUGUGUUGGGUCCUUUUUGAAAGGUGGCCAGAUCUGCCCAAUCAUAUUAUGCUCCUCAAGGACACACCCUGUGUGAGGAAUAAGCAGGGUUUCUACCAAGUCAACUGUCAGAGUGAUUUACCUUCCAUGAUAUUUCUGAAUGAUGGUAGACUCAAGUUAAUGUGAGUUAUGUGAUGCCUGUCUGUCAUUGGAUGAAGAUCUACACUGGACAGUUUCAGGUUUCUUUCUAAACCAUGACUGAAGCCAUAGAUUACCUGAUAACCAACCAUGGUUCUAUAAAUGUCUGUACGUGUCUAUAAAAGUCAAUGCAGAAAAUUAAAAAAGAAGUCUGGGUCGGGUGCGGUGGCUCAAGCCUGUAAUCCCAGCACUUUGGGAGGCCGAGGUGGGUGGAUCAUGAGGUCAGGAGAUCCAGACCAUCCUGGCUAACACGGCAAAACCACAUCUGUACUAAAAAAAAUACAAAAAAAUUAGCCGGGCAUGGUGGCGGGCGCCUGUAGUCCCAGCUACUCGGGAGGCUGAGGCAGAAGAAUGGCGUGAACCCAGGAGGUGGAGCUUGCAGUGAGCCGAGAUCGCGCCACUGCACUCCAUCCUGGGUGACAGAGGGAGACUCUGUCAAAGAAAGAAAGAAAGAAAGAAAAAAUCCGAAUGGGCUGUUAAAAUGAAAAUCUGCACACUGCAUCUAUUGGUACUAAUUUCAAAGACUUCUUUCCUGUAGGUUUGCAUUGCAAAACAUAAACAUUGCUUAUAUUUGAUUUUUUCAUUUGUCCAUAGUGAUUAUACAAAGGCUGAUACAGAGCACCCAUGUGGAGGGGUCACAGAAGGUAAAGCCAAAACAUAACAUGAAAACCAAAUAUGGCAGGGCUUUGAGCACCAGUACAAGGCAUUUGCAUGUGAUUCUUUGCAAAAUGGAGAGUUGUUAAAAGUUUUGAAUAAGGACGCUUCUAGAGGAUUAAUAGGGCAAUAAUAUGCAGAUGAGCAUAAAAGGGAAGAGACAGAUGCCUGUUAUUGGGCCAUUGCAAUAUUUCAGAAUGAGAUAAAGAAGUAGGGCAAUGGGAGUGAAAAGAAAAUGAUGGAUGGGAGAGACAUGGAGAAGGAGGAAUAAAUAAGAAGACUUGGCCUCCACAAGAAUAUGGGGCACCAACGGAGAGAGAAAAGUGAAAGAUGAGCAUACAGUGAUGUUUUAAAAAGUGAGUUUGGGAAACUGCUUUUGUUCAGUGGAGGAGCUUGCGGAGAAGAUAAUGAGUUUAGUUUUAUACGUAUUUGAGCCCUUUUCUGUUUGGCUGUCAGCUCUCCUAGAAGCUGAAUGUGGUAUGUAGAGUGGGAUGUAACCAUGAGGUUACCCUGGAACUCAGAAACUGCUAUAGCUAUAAAGAGAAGUAUGAAAAGUAACUUAAAGAACAACGACCUUUAUCCAUAGCCUGGCAUUGUCUUAACAUAUGUAAAGAAAAAAUGGCUUCUUUAGGAAUUGUUUGGUAGUGAAAUAAAGAAAAUGGUGAGUCAUGGAGAC
rnacentral:lncRNA from 10 species